rnacentral:rRNA from 1 species
UGGAAAGGCGUGCGAUACAGGGUGACAGCCCCGUACACAAAAAUGCACAUAUUGUGAGCUCGAUGAGUAGGGCGGGACACGUGGUAUCCUGUCUGAAUAUGGGGGGACCAUCCUCCAAGGCUAAAUACUCCUGACUGACCGAUAGUGAACCAGUACCGUGAGGGAAAGGCGAAAAGAACCCCGGCGAGGGGAGUGAAAAAGAACCUGAAACCGUGUACGUACAAGCAGUGGGAGCCUCUUAAUGGGGUGACUGCGUACCUUUUGUAUAAUGGGUCAGCGACUUAUAUUCUGUAGCAAGGUUAACCGAAUAGGGGAGCCGAAGGGAAACCGAGUCUUAACUGGGCGUUAAGUUGCAGGGUAUAGACCCGAAACCCGGUGAUCUAGCCAUGGGCAGGUUGAAGGUUGGGUAACACUAACUGGAGGACCGAACCGACUAAUGUUGAAAAAUUAGCGGAUGACUUGUGGCUGGGGGUGAAAGGCCAAUCAAACCGGGAGAUAGCUGGUUCUCCCCGAAAGCUAUUUAGGUAGCGCCUCGUGAAUUCAUCUCCGGGGGUAGAGCACUGUUUCGGCAAGGGGGUCAUCCCGACUUACCAACCCGAUGCAAACUGCGAAUACCGGAGAAUGUUAUCACGGGAGACACACGGCGGGUGCUAACGUCCGUCGUGAAGAGGGAAACAACCCAGACCGCCAGCUAAGGUCCCAAAGUCAUGGUUAAGUGGGAAACGAUGUGGGAAGGCCCAGACAGCCAGGAUGUUGGCUUAGAAGCAGCCAUCAUUUAAAGAAAGCGUAAUAGCUCACUGGUCGAGUCGGCCUGCGCGGAAGAUGUAACGGGGCUAAACCAUGCACCGAAGCUGCGGCAGCGACACUAUGUGUUGUUGGGUAGGGGAGCGUUCUGUAAGCCUGUGAAGGUGGCCUGUGAGGGUUGCUGGAGGUAUCAGAAGUGCGAAUGCUGACAUAAGUAACGAUAAAGCGGGUGAAAAGCCCGCUCGCCGGAAGACCAAGGGUUCCUGUCCAACGUUAAUCGGGGCAGGGUGAGUCGACCCCUAAGGCGAGGCCGAAAGGCGUAGUCGAUGGGAAACAGGUUAAUAUUCCUGUACUUGGUGUUACUGCGAAGGGGGGACGGAGAAGGCUAUGUUGGCCGGGCGACGGUUGUCCCGGUUUAAGCGUGUAGGCUGGUUUUCCAGGCAAAUCCGGAAAACCAAGGCUGAGGCGUGAUGACGAGGCACUACGGUGCUGAAGCGACAAAUGCCCUGCUUCCAGGAAAAGCCUCUAAGCAUCAGGUAACAUCAAAUCGUACCCCAAACCGACACAGGUGGUCAGGUAGAGAAUACCAAGGCGCUUGAGAGAACUCGGGUGAAGGAACUAGGCAAAAUGGUGCCGUAACUUCGGGAGAAGGCACGCUGAUAUGUAGGUGAAGCGACUUGCUCGUGGAGCUGAAAUCAGUCGAAGAUACCAGCUGGCUGCAACUGUUUAUUAAAAACACAGCACUGUGCAAACACGAAAGUGGACGUAUACGGUGUGACGCCUGCCCGGUGCCGGAAG